rnacentral:rRNA from 1 species
UGGGGAAUAUUGCGCAAUGGGGGAAACCCUGACGCAGCGACGCCGUGUGAGGGAAGAAGGCUUUCGGGUCGUAAACCUCUGUCGGGAGGGAAGAACCGAUUGGAGUCGAACAGGCUCCUUUCCUGACGGUACCUCCAAAGGAAGCACCGGCUAACUCCGUGCCAGCAGCCGCGGUAACACGGAGGGUGCAAGCGUUAAUCGGAAUCACUGGGCGUAAAGCGCACGUAGGCGGUCUUGUAAGUCAGACGUGAAAGCCCUCGGCUCAACCUGGGAACUGCGUUUGAUACUGCUUGACUUGAGUAUCGGAGAGGGUGGCGGAAUUCCAGGUGUAGGAGUGAAAUCCGUAGAUAUCUGGAGGAACACCGGCGGCGAAGGCGGUCACCUGGACGAAUACUGACGCUGAGGUGCGAAAGCGUGGGGAGCAAACA